AUUGAACGCUGGCGGCAGGCCUAACACAUGCAAGUCGAACGCGUGGCGGACGGGUGAGUAACGUCUGGGAAACUGCCUGAUGGAGGGGGAUAACUACUGGACACGGUAGCUAAUACCGCAUCCCAUCAGAUGUGCCCAGAUGGGCUUAGCUAGUUGGUGGGGUAACGACUCACCAAUGCGACGAUCCCUAGCUGGUCUGCAAGGAUGACCAGCCACACUGGAACUUUGACACGGUCCAGACUCCUACGGGAGGCAGCAGUGGGGAAUAUUGCACAAUGGGCGCAAGCCUGAUGCAGCCAUGCCGCGUGUAUGAAGAAGGCCUUCGGGUUUUAAAGUACUUUCAGCGGUGAGGCGUUACCCGCAGAAGAAUCCCCGGCUAACUCCGUGCCAGCAGCCGCGGUAAUAC
rnacentral:rRNA from 1 species